rnacentral:rRNA from 1 species
AUAGCGUAUAUUAAAGUUGUUGCAGUUAAAAAGCUCGUAGUCGAAUUUCGGGAUUGUUCACUUGGUCUUGCUUUGCAAGUACUAUUUGAGUUUUCCUUUUUUCUUGGUAGAUUACACUUUGUGUAAAAAGUCAAGACUUUUACUUUGAAUAAAUUAGAGUGUUCAAAGCAGGCUUUUGCUUGAAUACAUUAGCAUGGAAUAAUAAAAUAGGACUUUGGUUUUAUUUUGUUGGUUUUAAGAACCAAAGUAAUGAUUAAUAGGGACAGUUGGGGGCAUUAGUAUUUAGAAGUCAGAGGUGAAAUUCUUGGAUUUU